CGCAGUUCUGUGCAAUCACUUCCACAUUCGUGCACCAUGCAGUGUUAAUAAUAACGCAUAUGCCCCCUCCUCUCUUUUUCCCCGAAGAAUCAGUCCGAUCUGCGUGGUAAAUUGAGAAGCCCUUGGGCUGGAUCGCAUGGUCUGGUGUGCUGGCGGUGAGCCACAUCUCCGUAAAGCAGAAAACACAGCAGUUCCGUAAAUCUCUUCAGAGUUUAAGUCGCCCUCUGAGAUCAUCCAGUUUGUUGUCCAGAGAAUGAACGUUGGACUGGAAAAUGCUGUUUCAGUUUUUCCCGCCUCUGUGUCAAAAUUUAUUAAACUUGUUUCUUUAAGUUAUAAAUGACUAACAAUUUGUGAAGGUAUGGACGACGGAUGGAAGCAGCAGUGGAGAAUUGAAGUAGUGGACCAAAAGGUUUAUUUCCCUUUACUAAAAAGUAUUCUUCAAACACAUAAACCCUCAACCAAGUACAAAACAAACAUAAAGUUAUAAAGCACAUGAGGCCUAUGAGCCAUGGGCUUAGCCCUUAUAUCAACAUUAAUGCAUCACUCUCCUAUUCACUGCAUGAGUGUAACUACAUAAGUUUGUAUCAAUCUCCCUCACUAGUGCCCUAAUACAAACCUAUAUAGCAAUAGCUCCGCCCUCUGAUUAUACCAUAACAGCCUCAAUUUAUUUCAAAAUACAUUUCCCCCAAAAAUUACAUCUAAAAUAAAUACUUAAAUACUAAAACAUACAAACAAUACUAACACUUUUUACUAUAAAAAAUCCCUACAUACAUCUUAUAAAAACAUUUCACACUACACAGUAAAACACCCCUGCCUAGUUGGUUGUGCCCAAGGACUCCCCCCUAGAUAUACCCCAAAUAGUUGAUUCCAUCAGGUUUCCAACACAAGGCACCAAACACAAACAGAACACCAGACAGCUACAUGCAUUGUUUCCCUAGAACAAGACCUGAGGAGGCCGACAGGCUGUUACAGAAGUACACCAUGCUGACUGAAGAUGAUGACCAACCGCCGAUACGUACCUUGCUGAACGAGACGUUCCUUGCUGAACUGGGAAAUCAAGCUAUAGGACAGCAACAAUGCCAUUCUUACCUGUAA
rnacentral:lncRNA from 1 species